CCUGAGGUUUAUUGUCCUCUGAUUUUUGUGCUUAUUUAUUUUAUAUGUAAAAUUUAGUUUGAAAAAAUUUAAUUUUAGAAAAAAAAUUUAUAUUGAUUUACAGUAGUAAAAUUUGUUAAUUUAAGGAAUUAAGAAAUAGUAAAUUUUAUAGUUUAGUCCAAAUUUGUGCCAGCAGUUGCGGUUAGACAAAUUAAGCAAUAAAAAUUUUUUAGUUAUAGUUAAUUGUAAAUCUUAAGUUUAUAGAAGGAUUUUUUAAGUGAAAUUUUAAAUCUUUAUAAGCUUAAAAUUAGUUAAUGAAGCUAAGAAGAUUUUAUUAUAAACUAGGAUUAGAUACCCUAUUAUUGAAAAAGUAGAUUAUAAAAACUAGGCUAGUAGAAGAUAAAUUUCGGAAAUUGAGAAAGAUGGCGGUAUUUUAGUCUAUUCAGAGGAACCUGUCCUAUAAUUGAUGAUCCACGAUUUGACUUACUUGAUUUUUUAGUUUUCAUAUCGUUGUAGUUGGAAUAUUUUAUCAGAAUGAAUAUUCAAGAUUCUUAGUGGGAAUAAAUCAAAUCAAGAUGUAGCUUAUAAUUAAGUAGAGAUGGGUUACAAUAAAUUUAUUUAUACGAACUAAUUUUUUAAAUAAAAUUUUGAAGGUGAAUUUGAUAGUAAUUUUUAUAAAAUUUUAAUGAUGAUUUAGCUCUAAAAUAUGUACAUAUCGCCCGUCGCUUUCAUUAUAAAAUGAAAUAAGUCGUAACAAAGUAGAGGUACUGGAAAGUGUCUCUAGAAGG
rnacentral:ncRNA from 1 species